AACUCAAACGUAUUACGACCGUUUCCGACACGAGAACGCGGUAACGCAACGACCAAUAAAUCGGCACGUUCUUGUUAGCGGUCCGCACAGGCUUGCAAUGCUGAACAACGGCGUUUUCAGCGACGCCCAAAACGACAAAUCGGCCGCAGCAUAAAUCUGCUCUGGACCAGGCCUCGGUGGGGCCGUGGCAGCAACGGCGAAAAAUGGCGGAUAAAUCUGAAGCUGUAUUGGAUGGCAAAGCUCUACAUGCAUUGCGCGUCGUCGACCUCAGAUCAGCGCUCGAGAAGCGCGGACUACCAAAAAGUGGAAGCAAGAAGGAACUCGUUGAGCGCUUGAAACUGCAACUUAAGAUAGAGAAACUGCACGAGGAGUCUUUGAAGGCUGAAGAUCGGGUGCCCAACCUUGACCUCCAAGAUGAGCUGACUGGUCAGAAUGACUUUGUCAGGCAGUACUUGGCGGCACAACAACAAACGUAUUCUCUGCAGCUUAAAGAGCGCAGACAGGCUGAAAUGCAGGCCUUCAGCAGCGUACCAGAGAAAGUGGGCGGUGAAGAGGCCACAGCAGCACCAGUGGUGCUCAGCCCUGUUUUGGAUGAGAAGAGCAGCCACCAAGGGUCCUGGGAGCGUCCACGCAGAGGUCGCACAUGCCCAUCUUCUAUAGAUCCAGGAGGGAAUGCUAGCCAUUGUCCCUACCAAGGAAAGCUGCCUAUGGAAGCAAAUACUGCAGUGAACACUAGCAGAAGGGGCAGACUUCGUCAGCAGAGGCUAUCUCCUCCAUGUCCUGACAAGAAAGGGCGCACGAAGUCAGUAGGAGCAGAGGAGCAACAGCAAACCUGCCAGCCACAGCCUGAGUUUUCAAGCACCCCGAAUGAGUACAGUAUGCAUGACAUGGUGCUAAGGACAGUACAAUCGCCUCGAAAAGGAGCUGUAGCACCUGUCGUUUCUCCUCCCCCAAUCGAAGAGCGUAAAGACCACCGAUAUCCUUCCAGAAGGAAACGAGAAAGUUCUAUCAGUCAAGCAAUGGUCACUGCUUCACAGCCCAGAUGCAUGGAACCGAUCACCAAUGAUGAAAAAAGUGUGUGUGAUGUAGAAGCAUGCCAAGCAACAUCAGCUAGCCCUCCGGACAAAACUGCUGAAGAAACUGAAUGCGUUAGAAAGAAAUAUGCACGCUUAGAAGAUCCAUCCACAGGACUUGUGACUGCACACAGAAGUACACGAAAGAAAAACAAAAAAAAAUCACCAGUGACCAUGGCCACCAAUGCUGAACCUAGCCAAUUGGACUCGAGCCAGCUAACAUUACCACAGCCUUUACCAGAGAUUGAUCAGUCUACCAUCAAAAGAACAAGCAACCCCAUCCAAUGCUCUGUAGUAGAUGGAAGCGAAAAAAGGGGAAGGCCAUUGCGGAUGCUCAUAACAAGAACUGGUGCAACAAAGAGUGUCAUCUCUUGUAAUCGUGUAAAUAUGCGAUGUGAACCAUUACCUGAAAAUGCUGAAGCAUGCCAGUUGAAUACUUCACCUACUCAAGUGCCUUCUAACGUGCUAACAAGUGAACCAGCACUCAAGUCAUCUGCCUUGAAGGAUUCGCAGCCAGUCAGACAAGAUACCCAAAGCUCACUUGAAGAUGACCUUCACGAGACACUGAACAAACUACACAUAACAGAGGUGGAAAGUAGACAAAAAACAACGGAGACAGAUAGUGGGAAAGAGAGUGUCAGCUCAGUAUUAUGCGACACAAUACCAGCGUGUGCAACAGCUGAAAGGAGUCCAACAAGUUUGGUGGAACAAGAGUGGAAAGAUUUAAAUAAGGAUUCUGCCAUGGGGAAUCAUGAUGCAAACACUGUGGUAAAUACACCAUCAGAGAACGAGAAUCUUCAGCCAGCAGCUGUAAUUACUAAAGAUGUGGAUCAAAAAGCACUAGAACAAGAUGUGAAUGCUUCAACAUCUGCUGGACACAACCCCAGCACAAGUAGCAUGCCAUCAGAUGUUUCUAGCAGCCCCACAAGACCAUCUGUACGUAGAACGUUGACAUUAGAAGAGAUGACAAAUGCCGUUGAAUCUAUUCUUCAAACAACAGAGAAAACACUGGCCUUGACUGAACAGUGUCAAGACAUGCCUUGUACUGAUGCCAACCUCAUUGAUGAAAAAGAAGUUGAUAAUGCUACUGACAGCCUUUUAAAAGAGAUGAGUGCUCAUAAUGAAGAUAACUUGCAGCUCACCAACUCUUGCCUAUCGGCACAGCAGGACAAAGUAGUUGAAUUCUCAACAUCAACAACUUUACAUGAAAAUUACAUUUCCAGUAAUGACAAAAAAAACUGUGAGACAGAGGAAGUUGGUGAAAAAAGUGCUACUGAGUCACCUUAUAAUGUUGUAUUGCCCCAAAGCGAACCAGCCAUGUUUGAAACACAGAGCAGCCUUUCACAAAACGAGGAGCUUUUCUGCACCACUUUACUGCCUACGGAUGGUACAGGAGUACUAUCAGAUGCAUCCCUUACAGAAGGAAAGGUAUUGGAUGAAGGUGCACAAGUAAGCAAGCCUGACAGUUUUAGUUCACCCCAGUGCUUUGAUGCUAUAGGGUUUGAUACUGUUGUUAAAAAAACCGAACCCUGUACAACUCCAGAGAAUGACAAGCACGAACAAGAAAUAUCUGGGCAGAGUACUUCAAUUGCAAGCAGCACUUCAUCUCCGACAGAUUGCUUAGAAGACAUGGAUACUGAAAGAUCAUACGAACAUACAGAAUUGACAUGCACAUUCACAGAAGCUUCAAAAAAAGCCAGUACACAGGAGACACUUAACAGUGCUUCCUCACAACUUCUCAAUUUUAAAAUUCCUGUGCAAGCACUUGAAAAUGACCAGAAUAUAAAGACAGACCAUGUAGUGCAAAAAAUGGGUAAUGAAAGUUCAAUCCAGGAGACUUCCUUUCAUCAGGAGACUUUUCAACCUUUAUAUAAAACGCAGGCUAAAGAUGAUGGUCGGCAAGCUCUGGCUAGACACGAAUCUUCAGGUUGCCUGCAUGCUGCUAGGGAAGACAAAGAUGCACUAGGCAGCCUUGAGUGUGUGCCACUUGUUCAAACAGGUUCGCAACAGAGUGCAAGUGUAGAAUCCUGCAGCAACUUAUCAUCAUCACUGCAUGUAUUAGAAGACACACACAAGUUACAUGCAGACAUUGCAGAAGGUGCAUCACUGGAAAAGGGACUGAACACACCAGACUUGACUCUAUCUCAAAGAAAUUUGGAAACACAGGACAAGUUUUCUUGUUCUGGUGAUAAGGCAUCAAAAUCAGCAGACACACAAGAAACAUCCCUGCAAAAAGAACCAUGUAAGGAAGAGCGGAUCAUAAAUACACAGGAAGUGCUCCCAUGCUCCGGUGGUAGCGAUAACACGGACACGAUAAAAAGCCCAUGUGAUACACUGUAUAACACUGAACCGGAGAAAAUCAAGGAAACUUGUACUUCUAGUUUUUUUCCAAAGCUGCUUUCAUCAAGCUCAGGAAAAUGCACUGAUAAUAUCAAACAACUUGACCUGUCCAGUGUGUCUUUGGAUGUUGAGACACCAGCAAUGAUUUCAUCAAACAAGAGUAUAGCCAAUAAAUCAGAUAACAAAUGCUCCAACUAUGUCCCUGAAGAGCAACCAAUCACAGGAUCAGGCUCAAAUGAGGGUCUUCAAAAUGAAGCAACAGUAAGUGCUCUUUCAACAGUUCCCAAUGAAGAAAAGGAACCAGCAGAACAAACCAUAACUGGCAGCCUGAAAACACAGGAAUAUACAGAAAACACAAUACAUAAAAUUACUGAGAAAGCAGGAAUGGUCACAGGAGAUGCAGUAUGUACAAUCUCCAAUGCUGGAAACGCUGUUGAGCCCUAUGAGCGAAAAAAAUAUGUGGUUCACUUUCCACAAGAUGAAGUGAGACUGAGAGAAGUACCACAAGAGCUGUCGUUGCAAUGCCACACUUCACCACUAAAUGAACCUGGAGAGAAACACACUAUGUCAACAUAUGCAACUAACCAAGAUUCCAUCCUUGUCAACUGCGAAUUGCCUACACUUCAAGACAAGCACAACACAGAAGCACUUCCAGAUUUUGCACUUGACAAAGCAACUGGUGGGAAUUUAGACAACUGUAAUGAUGCUAUGAAUUCGAAGGUUUCAGAUAGUGCAAUCACAAGUUCAAUGCCAGUAUCAGUGACUUGUGAGGGUUCGUUAAGUAGCUUGAUCAAUACACACAAGCAAAAUGAAGAGGCUCAAGCUGUAAGCACAGUAGCCAACAACUUAAGCGCCUGCUUCACAGCGACCCAGCAGCAGCAAGAGCACCAAGAGGCCACAAGUUUGGGAAGCUGCGACUUGACGAUAGAGUUUUGUAAUACUUCACAGCAUCCAACAGCGCUGUCAAUCAAAGAGUGUUUGGUAAUAUGCCCCGAUGCUAACUCGGCUAUGAGUCGGUCAGCAAAAGGGCAACAUUAUGAUGGAUCUGUUUCAGCAUCUGACAGCACAAACAUAGAGUGUGGUGUGCUUCCUCACUUUAGUUCUCCUAACACUGCAAAGGUAGUUGGACCAGUGCAACCUAAUUCAUCAAUAAGCAUACAAGACACAAAAGAAAUGCCUGCUUUAGUUAUACCAUGUUCCCAUACCCAUAAAUCUGGUGCAAUUUGUCAGUUCUCCGGGCCGCAUGAAAAGGAUGAAAUUCCAAGGAAGCCCAUGCAAGGUGAUGAACAAAUGCAAACUAUUCAAGGCAGGAGCGCUGCACCAAAAGAAACAAAAGAUUACGCUUCUGUUCCCACAGAAAUUACAGACACCAGUGAUGCCAUGAAAUCAAGAUUACUUGUAGGUUCAUGUGAUGAUUUCAGUUCUACAGAAAGAAGACUAAAAAACAAAGGUAAUUUUGAUAAUUUCAAAGCAUCGCCUCUGUGCUCUAAGGAAGCAAACUUGGCCAUCACUGGAGAACCAUUUGACACUACUGUUGCAGCAGAGCACAAGCAGAGUGUCACUACAGCACAUGAGGUUUCUAGCGAACUGGAAAAUACUGAUAAAAUAGAAAUCCCCAACUGCAUGUGCACAGUAUCACCAUCUGAGAUUUCGUUGCAAAAACAUGAACAUGUUGAUGAACCGAAGAAUGAAGCAAUGACAGCCAACACCCAAAUGACCAUACUUCUCAGCAAUAGGGUCAAUGCAACAAGUAAUGAGCUUUUAUUGGAUGAAAAUUAUUCUUUUCAUAGAGGAAAAUGCAGCAGCAAUGAUAAUCAAAAUAAGCAAGAAGUGGGAGGCGACCUUCACCUGUGUGGCACAUCAUCUAGACAUCCACCUUCCACUAAGUCUGAUAUAAUGAAUGCACAUGUGGUACAUGAAAGAAGUGCAGCUCCUGAAGAAUAUCAACAGGAAUCCACAAACAUCUCAACUCCUGAGCACUCGGACGAACUUGGCACCGACGCCAGACAUGAACAAGAAUCUGUAAAUGAAUGUGAAAGUUUCAAGUUUGGCGGACUCCAACACGUGGGCACCGAAGAACCGAGUAACAGCAAACUAGAUGUCACUGGGUCUACUAACAUAUCAGUUAAGGCGAGAUAUACAAUUGACGAAGGUGCUGAAACAAUCUGUGUUCCUCGCAGCAGCGCAUUAAACAAUGAAAAUGCUUCAGAACAUUCAAAUUUAUCACCGGUGGAUGGCAUAAGAUAUCAAGAUGCUGAAACAACAUUGACUUCAGCAAAUAUGGAGCACGCAAAUGUGCAGGGCAAUGAUGACAGCAAUGCUUUUCCUCCAAAUGAGACCUGCUUCACUGAGCUGUAUGCAACUCCUGAACCAAAAGAUGUAGAACACACCCCAACGGCAUUCAAGCACAGUGAAAAGUACUCCAAGAGAACGAAUAGCGAAUUUGCACAUAGCCCCAUUGGCCUCAGUCGUAGCAAAGCACAAGUGGAACAUUCAAGUGCAGCACAUGUGGUACUACAUCUUUCUGGCACCGAACGCACUGUUAACUUAGCACACGUGGAUAUUUCCGAUAGCGAUCAGGUGGUGGAAAAGCAUGUGCUUAAGAUACCGGAAAGUGAUUUUUUCACAGGUGACGAACAUCUCAGCGGGUCUGAAGAAAUUGUAAAUAGCUCGUCGAACUUGGCUGUCAACGAUGAGUUUGUGUUGGGGUUCGCUGCUAGAAAUCGGCAGCCCUGCGCACCUAUACUACCUGAAGAUAUCCCAAAGGACUUAGAAAUUCAAGGCAAAGAACAUAUUCUUAGUCGUCCAUCCAACCGUGCUACGGGAAACGAUAACGCAAUUUAUGACUGCGAAGUAACGAAAGAAGAAGCAACAGAAAUGCACGCAACUACGUGCACCGAAGAACACGGCACUGAUUUCAUAAGGGCAGAUGGCGGGGACAUUAAUGUUGCUGCAACAGGUUCGACGGAAUUUUCGAGCUGUUCGAAGUCCCAUGCAGGCACUCCAGCGUCGGACAGUUGCGGAGCAGACUGUUUCAAUACCGCGGCUUCUCCGACACGCAACGUCGGGCGGCAGUGUUCGGUCAGCUGCACCAACUUUGAAUGUCAGCCACAUGAAGCGUGUGAUCUCUUCCUACAGAACAGCGGCAAGUCCGAUGCAAGCGCCGAUCUUCAGCACAAAACACGGGAGACGGAGAGAUAUGUUCUAGGCCGUGUUGACCAUAUUGAUAGCAGUGGGGACAUCAGCUGUUCUGAAAGGGAAGAGCCCGAAAUGGCACGUCUACGAGGCCGAGGAGUGCGCAAGCAGGUGCCUGCUCGAGCCACUAAGGAGCCAUCAGAACCGUCUUCUGAUGGGGAGGGCAAUGAGGCUGGAAACCGGCGGCUGCGGAAUGGCCGCCGCGCAACGCCAGAGGAACCGCAGGCGAAGCGGCGUUCAUCACGCAACCGCAAGGCAGCUGCUGAGGAAUGCCCCAAGGAAGACUCUGAUGCAGCCACCGAACCUGAGAGCACACCGGGGAGCCCGCAACUGGAGGAAGGCCAAGUGCUGAGUCCCGUGAAUGAAGAGGAAAAGCAGAAGCCUGAGGGUAAGGAGGCAUCUGAAGGUAGUUCAAGCUCGUCAUCAGGUACAUCGGAUGGGGAGGAGGAACCUGUGGGUCGAAGGGGCCUCAAGGGGGUGCUGACAUCGCCGCCGGGGCGAUGUCAGGCACCCUCCGAAGGGCCCCAUUCACCCCCAAACAGAGAGGCAGCUCGGGAAGAGGACAUGAAAAGCCAGGAGGAACCAGCUGAAACGCCUGUUGAGCCUGACCAGCGUCCACUGCAAGAGGAGAGGCCAUCCAAAGAAAGCAUUCCUGAAGAUGUAGAAAUGAAGGAUGAUGAGGAGAGCCAGCUGGCAUCGGAGGCAUCGCCACCCAAGUUUAAAACCAGGAAGAUGUCGGUUGCAGCCUUGAAAAAGGAUUCUGAAGAUAAGGAGGAGCGUCCACAGCGGAAGCGCAAAUGGGGCCCUACGAAUGUUGUCCUCGAGCCUUCCAUGAGCAUUUCUACUGCGGCAUUGAAGGACCUGAUACCUGACAUUCAAGAACCACCAUCUGAGCCUAAAGAGCUUGAAGAGGAACAUGUUACUGCAUCUGUUGGAGAAUCUCCAGUCACAGAGCAGGAGGAAGCUUCUGAAGAGCCACCAGUUAAACUACAGGCUGUAGAUGAUGAACCUACUAAUGAAGAAAUGCCACCCUGCAAUGAAACCACUGAAAAAGAUCAGGAAAAGGGUGAAGAUGGGGAGCUGAGUCACGGUGAAAAGUAUUCAGUGGGUGACAGGAUUGACAAGGCCUCAAGAGACGAGAAACCUAAUGAUGAAAGUGAACACGUCUCUCGGGAUGAGAAGGAAAAGACCCCUGGCAAGGAUGAGAAAACAAGCAAAACUGAAAAACCUCCAAGAGAAGUUAGUCGGGAGGAUAAACCUGGAAAGCAUGAUGCAAACACAAAGGAAACAAAAGGGGCCAGAGAAAAGGCAUUACCAAAUACAGCACCACGUGCGGAGCGCAAGGCCCUCCAUGUGAUCUCAGACAGAGCGCCCUUGUCUAAAAGGCCUGCAGCAGGCAAGUUGGCAAGCCCACCAAGAAACCCGAAGAGCCGCAUUUUGUUUGUGCGCAACCUUGUGCGGCCUUUUACGUUGAAUCAGCUGAAACAGUUGCUUCAAGAAUUUGGAGAUAUCGUUGACUCUGAGUUCUGGAUUGACAAGAUCAAGUCCAAAUGUUUUGUAACUUAUGUAUCUGAGGAAGAUGCUGUCAAAGCCAGAGAAGCGUUACAUAACUUGCGAUGGCCACUCUGCAACCCAAAAAUACUGCAUGUGGAUUUCUCAUCGCCUGAAGAGAUGGAACGUCAGAAGGAGCCUCCUGCACCACCACCACCUAGGCCAAUAAAUGCUACAGAGAGGACUUUGCCAGCGUUUCAGCGAACUGUAGAAGUGGACCCCCGUAUGCCAACUGGACGUGAAGUCUUGCGGGACCCACGGGAGGUUUUGCGAGACCCAAGGGAGCCCCGGGAAAUCAAUGACCCCCGGGAACCUAAGGAUCCUCGUGAGGCUCGGGACACUGUCACAGGCUCUUCAGCACGCCCAGAUAGAAAUCAGAUGGUUGAAAGACAGGCAGUAAAUAGGCGGCCUGCUUUGCCAAUACGGGAAUGGGACCGGGACAAACUUCGUCAAGAGACACCACCUCCACCAACUGCUGAGCAGGCACCGGCCCCAUCACGCAACAAGGCCACUUCUCCAACAGACAAGCGAGAGCGUCGAGACAAGAAAGUGGCAAAGCGCAAAUCGGAAGAAGAUACACCAGCCAAAUUGCUGGAUGAUUUGUUCCGCAAGACAAAGGCGAGUCCUUGUAUCUACUGGCUGCCUCUUACUGAGGAACAGAUAGCACGUAAAGAAGAGGAGCGAAAGCAGCGGCGACAGGAGAGGGAACGCAGGCGACAGCAGCAGCAACUACAAGAAGAGGAAGAGCGCCGUAAGCGAGCUCUUGCACGUGAUGUGGCUGCGAAGACAAAACAGGAGUCCAAGCACAGUGGCAGCCAUAGCCCUGUGCGGCGGCGUUAAAGAAUCCUAUGUGGGCUUCAGCAGCCAAUAGGGUUGUUCUGGGAGUUCCAUGUGGGGAGACAAGCUGGCAGGCCCCUCAGCAUCGACUUUCCUGCCCUAUCAGCCCGGCACCAGCACGGGCAAGAUAAAGGGGAGAGGGCCCUUGGUUGGACUGCUUGCGUGCGGGACCCUAGUUAGCUGCCAGCAAAACUUCCUCAAGGGUCGAUGGGCCCAGGCAGGAACACGUCGCAGCAUGCACCACAAUGCCUCAAAUUGUCUCCUGAAAAACAAAAAAAAGUUACAAAAAAUGGCCGGCCUCCAUUUGCAUCGUCAUCACCAUUUUGGAACGGAUCUCAGUUGCUGUUGUGGAGGGUGCUACUUCAGAAAAACUGAGUGCUUCAAGCCAAGACUGAAUCCAAGACUGGCACCUGGUGCAACACUGAUGCUUGUGCAGAUAAACUGUGGUGUUGGACUGCAUCAGCUUCAAGUGCACAUGGGACUCUGUUGAAUAUGCAUUGUUAAUUUCGAUCUGCCUCUCUACUUGUUUUUGCCAUUUGUCAGCUUGGAAGAAAUAUGUCUGUGUAUCCAUCUGCACUCAUUUCCUAGAGGAACUUCAUGGAUGCAUUAUGUAAAGAGGGCUCUAUGAAUUUACUAAGUUCCCACCAACUGCUCUCGUGCACAUUCACAAUGAAAUAAAGCCAAUAAAAGUUUAAAAGCCUCA
rnacentral:misc_RNA from 1 species